AGAAUGAACGCUGGCGGCGUGCUUAACACAUGCAAGUCGAACGGAAUCCAAGGAGCUUGCUCUGGAAGAUUUAGUGGCGAACGGGUGAGUAUCACGUGAGCAACCUGCCCCGAAGACUGGGAUAACACCGGGAAACCGGUGCUAAUACCGGAUACCUUCCAAUGACCGCAUGGUCGAUGGAAGAAAUGUUUUUCGCUUCGGGAGGGGCUCGCGGUCCAUCAGCUUGUUGGCGGGGUAACGGCCCACCAAGGCUUCGACGGAUAGCUGGUCUGAGAGGACGAUCAGCCACACUGGAACUGAGACACGGUCCAGACUCCUACGGGAGGCAGCAGUGGGGAAUCUUGCGCAAUGGACGAAAGUCUGACGCAGCAACGCCGCGUGAGGGACGAAGGUUUUCUGAAUUGUAAACCUCUUUCGACAGGGACGAUAAUGACGGUACCUGUAGAAGAAGCAUCGGCCAACUAUGCGCCAGCAGCCGCGGU
rnacentral:rRNA from 1 species